CUGAGUUCCAGCCUCAGAACCCAGUAACUGGAGUAGACUUCACUGGAAAAGGUCACAGAUCUGCAAGAGGCUCAAAGGAAUAGAUCAGAGGAGAUUCUGUACAUGGAGCAUCUUAACUCUGCUCAGCAAGCAAGAGAACAACACCUUUUUGAAUGGUUGCACAGGGCUCUCCAACAGGCUGUCAAGAGGCUCCCAGAACAUACAGCCUACUGCUGUUGCCCUUGUUUAUCCCCAGAGGUGGAAGAUGCUGCUUCUCUUUGCUACAUCCUCACUCUUGACAAAUCUGAGUCUGCACCAUGGGGAUUCAAAGUCCAGGGCCAACUGAACCAAGAGACUUUCCUUUCCUACAACAGUGUCAACAACUGUCAUGUGUUUGGUGUUCUGGGGAACAGAAUGAAUGCCACAAAGAUCUGUGACAAACAAGUUGACACUCUGAUAGAUGGAGCUGAGCUGAUCAAGCAGCAAGUGAUUCGAAUGAAUAAUAUAAUCAGAGAGCCCCUCACUCUGCAGGCCAAGAUGCAUUGUUGGCAUGAUGCAGAUGGACAUUUCAAUGCAUCCUGGGACAUUGACCUCAAUGGACAGAACAUUCUGCAUCUGGACUCAAGCACUGGGAAACUGACUGAAGUUGGUCCUGGAUCCAGCUGGAUUAAAGAGCUAUGGGAGGAAGACAGGGAUGUGACUGCCUUCUUAACAGUGACCUCACAGGGGACUGUGGGCCCUGGCUUCAGGGGGUCACGUUGCACUGUGAAGAAAAGCUGCAGCCUACAGCCUCACCAAAUGGUAUUCCUGAUGUGGACCAACCGCCUUUGUCACUGGCCAUCAAGCCCAACAUCUCUGUCCUGGUGAUAAUCCUCACCUGCUCCCUCCUGCUUCUUAACUGAGGAGAAGCCUUGACAAUGACAGGUUGAAGAUGCUGCAGUGAAUGUCGUGAGAGCUCAUCUGGUGCAGCCCCUCUCCCUUUUCAUCAGCCCCAACCAGAUGAGUCUUGAUGCUGCCAACAUAGUAUUUCAUGUUCUUUCACUCUGUGCAGGCCGCUCGGGCCCUUUCUUAUCUCCUUGUACUGUUUCCUUUGUGCUCCCUGGUGGGAUUUGCUCUUCAUGGAACCACUUGAAUUAGAAAACUGGAAAAGAAUGUAGUUAUUACCCAACCCUAGCCUAGGAAACAGGACACCUAGAUCUCCUUAGUGAGAGUGUGAAGUUAUUACUCCUGUGUAAAUAACUUAUUAGUACAGAGGUCAGUGUGAGACAGACCAGGAAGACCCCACACUCCCCAAGAUAUUCGACUUCGAGUUAAAUUCUGUUAAGAAUAUUAAUUUUGUAAUAGGUGUUUUUAUAACCACAACUAUACUAUGUAGCCUUCUCUAGAACAAAAUAAGAAAGGUACAUUUUUAUAUGAGUAUAUAUGAUAGAAACGGAUAUUUCAUGACAUAAGAUGUGGUGGUUUAUAAUAUUAUCACUACUAUAGAUGAGUUUCUGUGACAUGCACUAGGCAGUCCAGCAAUGCCCACAUGCACACUGGGAUGCUCAGUCCUGCACGCUGGCUGCCCUGCAGUGACAAUCAGCAGUGAAAGCUGGGAGGGCCUGGAAAGCUGGUGCUGCUGGGUGCACAUCCUCCUGAUGCAGGUUCUGGGUCAGUGCUGCCUCCACUUCACUCAGAGAAGUCUCUCUGCACAUCCAGACCUGUGAUGGAAGGAGAAUAAACUCACACAAAUGUCCUCUGACUCCACAUGCGCACUUUUGCACAAGUGCACUAGCAUUCACUCACUCACUCACAGAGAGAGAGAGAUUAAAAAUAAAUAAAAAGUAAAAUAAAAUGAGGACCCUAAAAUAUGCAAAGUAUAACAUGUAUAAAUUCACUGCUGAAAACUGUUUGAAGCAUGGUCUUACUGUAUAGACCAGGCUGGCCUGGAACUCACAGAAUUGCACCUGCCUCUACCUACCCAGCAUCAGGCUUAAAUGUUUGUGCCACAAACUUUGCCUGAUCCUUGUAUUUUUCGCUCUAAUGGUAUGUUAUUAAAGUAUUAGGACUUUAAAAUUGACUGUUUCACACAAACUAAUUUGUAAACUACAGUGGCAUUAAGUAGACUGGCAAUAAUCUAAUCUCUCAGGUAUCACUAAUGGAAACUUGCAACAGCUAACCACAGGAAACAGAAAUAGAGAACUAGUUGUUUAGUAGAACUCACUGAAAACACAUGCCCAGACGUUAGCACGACUGACUCCAUGAUGGAAAAUACAUUCAGGCUGUAAAACUCAGCACAUAGACAGCACCACCUGCCAAAACUAAAACAAAGGACUAAUCCAUCCAAGUACAUGGUUAAGGGCAAGUUUCUGAGUGUGCUAACCUUGCUUUUUAACUUCUGUAGUUCUGCUUCUGACUAACUGUUCUUGUUAACUGAAGUUUGUCAGCAAAUACUGACAAGCUAAUAAAGAGUUGUUAUUGACUUAAA